rnacentral:rRNA from 1 species
UACGGAGGGUGCGAGCGUUGUCCGGAAUCACUGGGCGUAAAGGGCGUGUAGGUGGUUUCGUAAGUCUGGCGUGAAAUUUCUCGGCUUAACCGAGGCAGGUCGUCGGAUACUGCGGAACUUGAGGACGGUAGAGGCGUGUGGAAUUCCGGGUGUAGUGGUGAAAUGCGUAGAGAUCCGGAGGAACACCAGUGGCGAAGGCGACACGCUGGGCCGUACCUGACACUGAUGCGCGACAGCAUGGGGAGCAAACAGG